GGGAUGCGCGGGAAUCCCAAUUAGUCACAGGAACCCCCUGCAGAACCCCGUGAUUGGUACAUGUGCUUGGAAGCCCAAGAGCUAGCAUCAACAUAGUGCAGGACAAUUUCCGAGGAUUUAUUGGUAUACAUAUACUCCAGUCAAAGAGGCCACGCCUGCUAUCAUCAGUGCUAGAUGCAAGUACUUGCAUUGCACAUUAAGAAAUUGUUCGUAAAAAGAAAAGAUGGGUAAACAUAGUUUAGAAAGCAAAAGGAAAUUUAGAAAAAGGAAAAGGAAAGAAAACAGACAAAAGAAGAAACUGCAUAAGAAAGCAAGUAUAGAAAAAAACCACAUUUGCCUCUGCAAUGCUUCAUCCUGUCCAGACAAAACAUCAAUUUCUUGGUUGUCUUCAUCAUCAUCAUCAUCAACACAACAAUCAUCACCAUCAACACCAUCAUCAUCAUCAUCAUCAUCAUCAUCAUCAUCAGUGAAACCAAAAGAUAAUCAAAAUUUUAUAACAUUCACCUCAGAUCCAUUGUAUGUGCGUUUUAUGGAAUAUUCAGUGUUGAAAAAACGAGUUGCAGCUAUUGAACAAAGAGAGAAUUCUAUGAAAAUGUAAUAAUACACCCUCUUUAGAUUUCAAAGGGUAGUCGCUAAUGGAGAUGAAAAAACAGUCAAGUAAUUUCAGCAAUUUGGUGAUCAGGAGCUUUUUCCAUUCGUGUGUUGUGAACAUCAGUUUAAAUAUGUAUGUGAAUGUUAUGGAUUUGUCUUUGAUAUUUUUGGGAAUUUUUUAAUACAAGACAUCUUUAUUUUUUGUGCAAAAUUAAUUUGUUUUCUUGCUUGCCUGUAUAUGUGUUACAAUAUGGCAUCUGCUGCAAAGCGACCACGAAAGUUUUGUACAGCAUGUAAAUUAGAGUUUUCCGACCGACAUUUUCGGCGACAUAUGGAAAACUGUGGCAAUGAUAAGAUCAAUCUUUCUUCUUCCAAUGUAUGUACAAGUUCUGAUAGCAAUACAGAUGAUGAUGAUGCUCAUCAAGAAUCUCCCCUUUUCUCAGAUGAGGAAGAAGUUGUGUAUAAAAACUAUGACUCCAAAAAAA